UUAGUGUAUAUGUAUCAGCAUCUAUCUACCCAGUUACAGUGUGUGUGUGUUGGUAAGAUGAAAGAAAGGGGGGGGGUGGGGGGGGGAUAAGGGAGGCCAGGGCAGCAGUGUGGUCAGAGCUCUGAUAAGGGAGAGGGGACUGUGGAGGCAUACUUACACCAACUUAGUGCCAGAUUGUUGGGCUGGAGAAGAUCCUGCGAUCCCCCUGCCAAAGAGUUAGAGCUCCCUGCUGGGAAUAACCAGUCACAUUGUUACAGCAGCUAUAGCUAGGAGCUGGCCCCUAGGACCAGCGGAACUACUCACUACAAGCCUCUAAAGGGAGGUUCAGAAAGAUUUGAAGAAGAAGCCAGCAGGAAAUAAGAGGGGGAAAACAGAACCUUUUAAAAAUGAGACACUUCUUGACACGCGGCGAGCAGAGGGAGCACGUGGCAAUGUGUCCGCACGGACCGAAGAGAGUGUCUCUCUUCAUAUCCGAGCACACCAUGCACUCCUCCAAGGACUCCAUGUUGCUGUUCAGAGACGGGCUGCGCGUGCCCACUUGGCCGCUGUGGAAUCACAGAGUGAACAAGAUCAAGAAAUGAGCGACUAGAGCGAACACAUUCAACUAUUAAAGUGGCGGUAUGCUGGUCAUUUACUU